AUACGGAGGGGGCUAGCGUUGUUCGGAAUUACUGGGCGUAAAGCGCGCGUAGGCGGCUUAUCAAGUUAGGCGUGAAAGGCCUGGGCUCAACCCCGGAAUUGCGUUCAAGACUGCAUGGCUCGAGACCGAGAGAGGUGAGUGGAAUUCCCAGUGUAGAGGUGAAAUUCGUAGAUAUUGGGAAGAACACCAGUGGCGAAGGCGGCUCACUGGCUCGGUACUGACGCUGAGGUGCGAAAGCGUGGGGAGCAAACAGGAUUAGAAACCCCAGUAGUCC
rnacentral:rRNA from 1 species